AAUCUUCUGCAACAUCACGUCCUACCACAACCUGUCGCAGCCGCAGGAACAUCGACUGUCCCAACAAUGUAACAUUUAAGACCGAGUGCUGCGCAACCACCGCUGAGUGGCAUGGAAGCAUGGAAAAAAAUGAGAGGCUCACACACGCUCUUCUUUGUUCUGCAGGUCUUCGUGAGCUCAGUGCAUCUUCAAAGUUUCUGUGGCCGAAGACGGCAACUGUUGGUGCAGAAGUGAGAUACACUAAGGAAGGAUGGUGUAUAAUCAAAUGAGCUUGACACACGCUCAAAGUGCUCCCCAAUAGCGUCUGCCUGGUCUUGCAAGGUAUUCCUUCAUCAUUCACCAGAUGCAGUGGAUGGAUUUGUUGCCCAUUUGGCUUUCUUAAGCUAUUCGGCACUUUCGCCUCCUGUGUGUAUUAAUUUACGCCCGAGAGGAACCUCAUCCGGCUUUCUCUUUUCGCUUGACGACGUCUCUGCCUUCCCUGGGGUUUAUAGUGUUUAAAUUGAACGAGAUUAUCAGCACUUAACGAUGCACGUAAUCAGUACAAUGCGUUAUUAUGCCUCUUUCACUCAUCUCUACAGUCUUCGUUCUACCAGCGAACACGUCUUUUAAGUGAACCACCACUUGUUUGGGGAAUAAACAUUUCGGCUGCAUCAAUAUAAAAGCAGUGAAAUUUACGACACA